UCUCCGUUGGUGAACCAGCGGAGGGAUCAUUACCGAGUUUUCAACUCCCAAACCCCAAUGUGAACCUCAUACCGUACGUUGCUUCGGCGGGCUCAUCGCCCCGGGCUCGCCCCGGAGACAGGCACCCGCCGGAGGACCACCAAACUCUCAGUAUUACAUCAGUAUCAGUGGCAACUCUGAGUGGCGCGUCAGCGCACAAACAAAAAAAUGAAUCAAAACUUUCAACAACGGAUCUCUUGGUUCUGGCAUCGAUGAAGAACGCAGCGAAAUGCGAUAAGUAAUGUGAAUUGCAGAAUUCAGUGAACCAUCGAAUCUUUGAACGCACAUUGCGCCCGCCAGUAUUCUGGCGGGCAUGCCUGUUCGAGCGUCAUUUCAACCCUCAAGCCCCCCCGGGGGCUCGGCGUUGGGGACCGGCACCGCCCUCGCAGCGGUCGCCGCCCCCGAAAUACAGUGGCGGUCCCGCCGCAGCCUCCCCUGCGCAGUAGCACAGCUCGCAGAAGGAGCGCGGCGCGGCCACGCCGUAAAACACCCCAAACAAACGAAAUUGUUGACCUCGGAUCAGGUAGGAAUACCCGCUGAACUUAA
rnacentral:sRNA from 1 species